CCUGGUUUGGCUCAGUAGAUAAGAGCAUCAGUUUGCAGACUGAAGGGUAACCAGUUCGAUUCUGGUCAAGGG
rnacentral:tRNA from 1 species